rnacentral:rRNA from 1 species
CGUGUAGGCGGCUUGACAAGUCUGGUGUGAAAGCCCGGGGCUCAACCCCGGAAGUGCAUUGGAAACUGUCAGGCUUGAGUACCGGAGAGGAAAGGGGAAUUCCCGGUGUAGCGGUGAAAUGCGUAGAUAUCGGGAGGAAUACCGGUGGCGAAGGCGCCUUUCUGGACGGAUACUGACGCUGAGACGCGAAAGCGUGGGGAGCAAACA